rnacentral:misc_RNA from 1 species
UUAGAUGAGUUAGAUAGACUAAAUAUUGACAGGGAGAUGAGUAGAGUUGCAACUGUCUCAGUUGGAAUCAGUGCUUCGCCAUUGACUGCUCAGCCCAUUCUUCAAAGUUCCUCCAAUGCCUACGAAACCCACCCACAGUUUUAUCUUGGCCGGUUGAUGGAUCACAGAGAAAAUGAGCAGUUCCUGCUGCACAACCAUCACAAUUCUUCCAAUUAUGCUCCUUGUGAAGAAACUGCUCAUUCAGUGCCGCUCCAUGGGCUUAUAAAUCAACAAGUAGGCUUGAAUGAAGGACGUCCAGGUACCAGCUUUCAGGUGCAUAAUUCACAGACAUUAGUGAAGGAGGAGAAGCCAAAGCUUGAUGGUUCAGUUCAGCAAGAGAGUGAACCUGAAAAAAUUCAUCCUGUAGAAAAAGUUUACGCUGUUCCAGUUGAUGGAGCACCAGUUGGAGUUGUACCGCAAGGGCAUCUUCAUUCUCUGCCCUCAAAAAAUGAGGGAAGGUACCUAGAACCUGAAAAGGUUUUUUCUUAUGUUGAUGCUGUGAAUUCACUCCAGGUUCCUAAAUCUAGUGAAGAUGAUCAAUGUUCCACAUCUGAUGGUACAUUUGGUCCAGUCCAUGCUGAUUCUGCUUCCAAUCUGAUUGAUUUGAGUUACUUUGAACCACCAGCGCCUCCUCAGAGAGUUUAUUGUUCAGAACGAAUACCACGAGAGCAAGCGGAGUUGCUGAAUAGGUUAUCAAAGUCUGAUGACUCUCUUGGUUCUCAGUUGCUUACUUCA